UACAGAGGGUGCAAGCGUUGUUCGGAAUUACUGGGCGUAAAGCGCGUGUAGGCGGCGUCGUUAGUCGGAUGUGAAAGCCCUCGGCUCAACCGAGGAAGUGCAUCCGAUACUGCGAUGCUUGAGUGUUGGAGGGGGUGGCGGAAUUCCCGGUGUAGAGGUGAAAUUCGUAGAUAUCGGGAGGAACACCUGUGGCGAAGGCGGCCACCUGGACAACAACUGACGGCUGAGACGCGAAAGCGUGGGUAGCAAACAGG
rnacentral:rRNA from 1 species